UUUAUAGACAGACACACAGAGAGACAUGCACGCAGGGACAGAGUACUGUUUGUUUCCUGGAAACAUGGACUGUUCUCUCAGUCCUACCAGAUUUCCCAGGGAGCAUCAUACUGAAAUAGGGAAAACUGUGUCUGCUGCCUGGUGUCCGCCCUCCACAUAAGGAGAGAUCUGAUUCGCUCCACACCCCCUUGGUAACUGCAACGACUGCCCCUAGCCUGGGGAAGCCCUUUCCAGGCGUUCCUGACUGCCCCGCUCACUUCUCUGUCUCAUCUCGCCUCCCAGGCCUCCUUGCGCUACUCCCACAGCAAAACACUGCACCAGUGCUUGCCCUUCUUGGGGGCUUCCUGGCCUUUGCACACACAGCUCCGUCUGCCAGGAAUGCUUUUCCAUCCAUUCCUAUUCUUCUGGCAAAGCCCUACUCAUCAUCUGCCCACACGUCACCUCCUCUGAGGGGUCUUUUCUCACCUCUCCUCUGAGAGCUUAGGACUUUGCAUGGUUAUGUCGCUGUUGUUAUUUCUAUUUACCUCUGUCUCCGCCUCCAAACCAUAAAUUCCUCAAAGUCAAGGACUUUCUCUUACUCAUCUGUGCGUCCUCAACAUGUAGACCAGUGCCUGAAGCAGAGCUGAUGAGCAAUGGAGAAUUGUUGAAUGAAUGGAUGAGAUUUGUACAGUAUAGCUGCUAAGAGUUCAAGGUCUGUGUUCAGUGGAAGAUUUGGUUUAAAUACCAGCUCUAUGUGAACUUAACCUGGAAUUAGAAAACAAAACAAAACAAAAAACAAAAAUAAAUAAAUAAAUGCCAGAGCUCUGCCUCUUGCUAGCUAUGUGAUUUUUCCAGUCACCUGGCCUCUCUAAGCGAUUCCACGUCUAUAAAGUGGCCUAUAACAAUAGAACCUUGCAAAGUGCUUCUUACAGGCAUGAGCCAUUGCGCCUGGCCUCACUAUUGGUACCUUCUAU
rnacentral:lncRNA from 10 species